rfam:Microgenomates bacterium GW2011_GWC2_46_7 TX64_C0025, whole genome shotgun sequence.
GGGCCUGUAGCUCAGUCUGGUUAGAGCACCUGCCUCUUAAGCAGGGUGUCGUGGGUCCGAAUCCCACCGGGCCCA